CAUAAGCCCCUUUACUUUUUCCAGCUCCUGACCAUGCUGGGCCAUCCCAACAGCCCUACUGCCAGGCAGAGAGGAUGACACAGCUGUGCACACAACACAACUUGUCCUGAACCUGCACACUAGCCUGUUUUCUGAGAACACACCCUCCAUGAAUCCAGGACAUAGCUGAUCAAGUAGACAGAGACUGGCUAGUUUCUGUGAUCCUUUAAGAGCCACCCUGAGCUCCCAUAUCUGGUUUUCAUAUUGUAAAAAAAACUCUUCUUAGAAUGGCCUCUAGGAUUCAUAUGCAACAUUGCUUCACAACACAGCUGAAGAAUGUGUGCCCCACCGUGCAAAAGUGUUCUUGGAUUACAGUGUCAUUAUCCUUGACUAUCGGCCUUGCUAGCUAAGGCUGAUGGGAGAUGCAGUCCAACAGCAUCUG